UUAUUAUCGAGUUGAAUACCUGCAUCUGUGUGGGUAUUGUGAUUCUGACUCUGAAUAGGAAGAUCUGAUGC
rfam:Helianthus annuus linkage group 5, whole genome shotgun sequence.